ensembl:lncRNA
CUGAAGUGAAUUUGCUAACGGAUGCAAAGUGGUCAGCAGGCAUUAAUUGGUUGUGUCUUCACCAGACAAAUCUUACUUGUAUUUCAUUUAAUAAGAAUCAUUUACAUUACAUCAGUUUUCUACAACUUGCUAAGUUGUAAAAUAAUUAAGACAAUGAAAGACAAUAGUAAUCCACUCACACGGAAGAAGGUACUAGAAGGGAGGUACUAGUGUCUGCGGUUUCCUAACUAAGGCAUCCAUUAACUGCUUCUAGGGAGAAUAAAUGCAAUUGAAAAUACAGUCUAUUCUAGACAAUAACCAGGUACCUGAGUUUGAAAUCAAAGAUCUUCUGAUUUGCAAGAGCUUGGCUUUUUAGAGUAAAAGUUCUUCCUGAGUUCCAAACACUUCCUUUAAACUUCAAAAAAUGGUCUUUAAACCAGUGUGCUGGAGAGCACAGGGAAAGCAAUGUCAUUUUCUCAUCCUUUCUAAGUAUGAAUGGAAGAGGCUGGAGGGAAAGGAAACCCAGACAGUGACCUAACAUGUUCCCUGACACCUCUGGGUGGUUUCCUACAAAGGGCAAGAGAUGCUCCAAGAUGGAGAUCCAGAUAAGGAUGCUGAGAGCAGAGGAGCCUGACCAGGUUUCCCAUUUGGGAUUCUGGGAACAGGCAGCCUCACAGUAUUUCCAACUUUUGUAUGAGAUGAUUGUGAUAGAAAUGAAAAUAUGGCAGCAUUAAAUAUGUGGGGUGAGAAAUAGCCCAACCUCCAUAACAACCUCCAUCCCCAAUUUCCUAGACUUCCUAGUCUGAGGGAGAUUCCACAGGUCAGGUAUUCCAAGUGCUGGGUGACGUAAAGAAGGUACAGAGGACUCAUACCUCUGGAACCUAGGGCUCAGACAGCAGGAGAUUCUGGCACUCCCCACAGGCAGAUAAAGCUGGGUACAGCAGCUGCAGACUCUGCAGGACAGGAACCAGGGUCACAGAUCACGGGGGAGAGGACAUCUCAGCAGGGACCAGAGGGAAAAGAGGCAGCACUCAGACAACCAGACACCACCCCCUACACUCAAACAACCUUCUGAGUUUCCUUGAGGGAGGAGAAAGUUCUACGUGAAGUUUGACCUUUCCAAUAACUGACCCUGAAGCCUGAGUCAAUUAUUCACCCUAAAGUGUCUAUACUCCAACCCACAGUGACUGAAUUGACCUGAACUGGACAACUUCCAUUAUUUCCACUACGACGUUAAGCAUUAGGUACAACAGUGACACACGUGAGACAGUACAUCAUGUUUUACAAAAAUAAUGUAGAAUAAACCCAUCUGCCAUAGUACCUUACUAUUGCAAGCACCUCUACUAGAAGCAUCUCACCCUCUUUCAUAUAUUUUAGUUAGUUAUUUAUAAAGUAUUUCUCACUAGAUUCUGGUGAAGCCCACUAGCUUCUGGCCAGACCUAUGUUUUGUGAAUUGUAACCUGUACAUAGUAGGUGCUCAAUAAAUGUUUAGUGAACUGAGCUGUGUUUUUUUCCUUAAAGUUUCAGGGUUUCUUUUUCAAAGGAUAAACAUAUUCUCCACUCUGCAACAAUUUCAGAGCUGAAAGGGUAUUAGUGGUUUUAAUUUUAUUUCUAUCAUAUGUCUUCUUCAUUUUAUUUUUUAUUGAAGUAUGGUUGAUUUACAAUAUUGUGUUAGUUUCAGGUGUACAGCAAAGUGAUUCAGAUAAAUAUAUAAACAGACAUUCUUUUUUAGGUUCUUUUUUUUAUAGAUUAUUACAAAGUAUUUAAUACAGUUCCUUGUGUUUAUCAUGUAUUUUCCAAUUACAGAAUCAUUAAAAGUGUGUGCAUAUACCCAUACCACAUAUAUAUGUACAUAUACAUAUGUGUGAACAUACAUGUAUAGUGAUGAUAGCACAUGGCUCUUAAAUGGCAUGAUUCCUCUGUACUGACUAGUGUGCCUUCACCAUACAGGUCAUGGUCACGGUCUUGUAUUCUGCUGGAGUGUACAGGCAGUAGUGACUAUCGUGUGGGCAUCCAUGCCUCUCCUGAAGCAAAGGAGCACCUGGCUCCCCCUUCACGCAGCUGACCAUGGUCGGGUUGCUGCCAGCCGCUACACACUAGACCUCCAUCGAACUGUCAAAGUUGUUUUAUCAUGCGUGGCUAGAUAAUUUUUUUCCUGGCAUGUUGAAAUUAACCCAGAACUCAUCAUUGUGUAAAGUUGCUGAAUUGUUCUUUCCAAUAGACAUUUCCUUUUAUUUAACAGUCUUGUUUUCACCUGCCUGAAAUGGCAGUGUCUGGCGUAGAAAGGUACAAGCUGCAUGAGUACAAGGAUGACAGAAGCUCACAAAUCUCAGCAUUGCAGGGUGGCUGCUUGUCCCAUGGUAUCACCUGACCCCAAAGACAAGGCCCUAAGUACCUCCUAGCCAAGCACACCAAGACAUCUGAAAACAAAGAUCAUGGCAUCCAGUCCCAACACGUCAUUGCAAAUAGAUGGGGAAACAAUGGAAACAGUGACAGACUUUAUGUUCAUGGACUCCAAAAUCACUUGAGAUGGUGACUGCAGCCAUGAAAUUAAAAGAUGCUUGCUCCUUGGAAGAAAAGCUAUGAUCAACCUUUUUAAAAAGCAGAGACAUUACUUUGCCAACAAAAGUCCAUCUAGUCAAAGCUAUGGUCUUUCCAGUAGUCAUGUAUGGAUGUGAGAGUUGGGCUCCAAAGGAAGCUGAGGACCAAAGAAUUGAUGCUUUUGAACUGUGGUGUUGAAGAAGACUCUCAAGAGUCCCUUGGACUGCAAGGAGAUCUACCCAGUCCAUCCUAAAAGGGAUCAGUCCUGGGUGUUCAUUGGAAGGACUGGUGAUGAAGCUAAAACUCCAGUACUUUGGCCACCUAAUGGAAAGAGCUGACUCACUGGAAAAGACCCUGAUGCUGGGAAAGAUUGAAGACAGGAGGAUGAUAGAGGGAUGAUAGAGGGUCAGAUGGUCGGAUGGCAUCACUGACUUGAUGGACAUGAGUUUGAGUGAGCUCCUGGAGAUGCUGAAGGACAGGCAAGGCUGGCAUGCUUGUGGUCCAUGGGGUCACAAAGAGUUAUACACGGCUGAGUGACUGAACAACAACAACUAAUGAAAUUUAAUAUCUUUUCAUAUGUUUACUGAAUAUUUGUGUAACUUCUUUGGAGAAAUGUUUGAUCAAAUUGUUUCCCUACUUUUCUUGGAUUGUAUUUUUGUUAUUGAAUUAUAAAAGCUUUUUAUAUAUUCUGGAUACAAGCCAUUCUAUGGGUUAUCUUUUCACUUUUUUGAUGGUGUCUUUUGAAAUGCAAAAGAUUUUA